rnacentral:rRNA from 1 species
CAUUAAUUUGAGAGUUUGAUCCUGGCUCAGGACGAACGCUGGCGGCGUGCCUAAUACAUGCAAGUCGAACGAACUCUGGUAUUGAUUGGUGCUUGCAUCAUGAUUUACAUUUGAGUGAGUGGCGAACUGGUGAGUAACACGUGGGAAACCUGCCCAGAAGCGGGGAUAACACCUGGAAACAGAUGCUAAUACCGCAUAACAACUUGGACCGCAUGGUCCGAGUUUGAAAGAUGGCUUCGGCUAUCACUUUUGGAUGGUCCCGCGGCGUAUUAGCUAGAUGGUGGGGUAACGGCUCACCAUGGCAAUGAUACGUAGCCGACCUGAGAGGGUAAUCGGCCACAUUGGGACUGAGACACGGCCCAAACUCCUACGGGAGGCAGCAGUAGGGAAUCUUCCACAAUGGACGAAAGUCUGAUGGAGCAACGCCGCGUGAGUGAAGAAGGGUUUCGGCUCGUAAAACUCUGUUGUUAAAGAAGAACAUAUCUGAGAGUAACUGUUCAGGUAUUGACGGUAUUUAACCAGAAAGCCACGGCUAACUACGUGCCAGCAGCCGCGGUAAUACGUAGGUGGCAAGCGUUGUCCGGAUUUAUUGGGCGUAAAGCGAGCGCAGGCGGUUUUUUAAGUCUGAUGUGAAAGCCUUCGGCUCAACCGAAGAAGUGCAUCGGAAACUGGGAAACUUGAGUGCAGAAGAGGACAGUGGAACUCCAUGUGUAGCGGUGAAAUGCGUAGAUAUAUGGAAGAACACCAGUGGCGAAGGCGGCUGUCUGGUCUGUAACUGACGCUGAGGCUCGAAAGUAUGGGUAGCAAACAGGAUUAGAUACCCUGGUAGUCCAUACCGUAAACGAUGAAUGCUAAGUGUUGGAGGGUUUCCGCCCUUCAGUGCUGCAGCUAACGCAUUAAGCAUUCCGCCUGGGGAGUACGGCCGCAAGGCUGAAACUCAAAGGAAUUGACGGGGGCCCGCACAAGCGGUGGAGCAUGUGGUUUAAUUCGAAGCUACGCGAAGAACCUUACCAGGUCUUGACAUACUAUGCAAAUCUAAGAGAUUAGACGUUCCCUUCGGGACAUGGAUACAGGUGGUGCAUGGUUGUCGUCAGCUCGUGUCGUGAGAUGUUGGGUUAAGUCCCGCAACGAGCGCAACCCUUAUUAUCAGUUGCCAGCAUUAAGUUGGGCACUCUGGUGAGACUGCCGGUGACAAACCGGAGGAAGGUGGGGAUGACGUCAAAUCAUCAUGCCCCUUAUGACCUGGGCUACACACGUGCUACAAUGGAUGGUACAACGAGUUGCGAACUCGCGAGAGUAAGCUAAUCUCUUAAAGCCAUUCUCAGUUCGGAUUGUAGGCUGCAACUCGCCUACAUGAAGUCGGAAUCGCUAGUAAUCGCGGAUCAGCAUGCCGCGGUGAAUACGUUCCCGGGCCUUGUACACACCGCCCGUCACACCAUGAGAGUUUGUAACACCCAAAGUCGGUGGGGUAACCUUUUAGGAACCAGCCGCCUAAGGUGGGACAGAUGAUUAGGGUGAAGUCGUAACAAGGUAGCCGUAGGAGAACCUGCGGCUGGAUCACCUCCUUU